UGGAUCCAGACUUUGAUUAUGGCUCAGGAUGAACGCUAGCUACAGGCUUAACACAUGCAAGUCGAGGGGAAACGACAUCGAAAGCUUGCUUUUGAUGGGCGUCGACCGGCGCACGGGUGAGUAACGCGUAUCCAACCUGCCCACCACUUGGGGAUAGCCUUGCGAAAGUAAGACUAAUACCCAAUGACGUCUCUAGAAGACAUCUGAAGGAGAUUAAAGAUUUAUCGGUGAUGGAUGGGGAUGCGUCUGAUUGGCUUGUUGGCGGGGUAACGCCCCACCAAGGCGACGAUCAGUAGGGGUUCUGAGAGGAAGGUCCCCCACAUUGGAACUGAGACACGGUCCAAACUCCUACGGGAGGCAGCAGUGAGGAAUAUUGGUCAAUGGACGAGAGUCUGAACCAGCCAAGUAGCGUGCAGGAUGACGGCCCUAUGGGUUGUAAACUGCUUUUAUAAGGGAAUAAAGUGAGUCUCGUGAGACUUUUUGCAUGUACCUUAUGAAUAAGGACCGGCUAAUUCCGUGCCAGCAGCCGCGGUAAUACGGAAGGUCCGGGCGUUAUCCGGAUUUAUUGGGUUUAAAGGGAGCGUAGGCCGGAGAUUAAGCGUGUCGUGAAAUGUAGACGCUCAACGUCUGCACUGCAGCGCGAACUGGUUUCCUUGAGUACGCACAAAGUGGGCGGAAUUCGUGGUGUAGCGGUGAAAUGCUUAGAUAUCACGAAGAACUCCGAUUGCGAAGGCAGCUCACUGGAGCGCAACUGACGCUGAAGCUCGAAAGUGCGGGUAUCGAACAGGAUUAGAUACCCUGGUAGUCCGCACGGUAAACGAUGGAUGCCCGCUGUUGGUCUGAAUAGGUCAGCGGCCAAGCGAAAGCAUUAAGCAUCCCACCUGGGGAGUACGCCGGCAACGGUGCA
rnacentral:rRNA from 2 species